rnacentral:rRNA from 1 species
AGAGGUCUAGCCUGCCCAGUGACUUUAAGUUAAACGGCCGCGGUACCCUAACCGUGCGAAGGUAGCACAAUCACUUGUUCUUUAAAUUAGGACCAGUAUGAAUGGCCUCACGAGAGCUAUACUGUCUCCCCCCUUCAAUCAAUGAAACUGAUCUCCUCGUGAAGAAGCGAGGAUAACUAUAUAAGACGAGAAGACCCCAUGGAGCUUUAAACUUACACCACUGCUUUAAGAUACACCAAAUAACUUAAGCAAGUAUGGCUACAAGUCUUUCGGCUGGGGCGACCACGGAGAAAAACUAAACCUCCAUGAUGAAAAGAGUAAUCCUAAUCAAAGAGCUACUGCUCCAAGAAUCAACAAAUUGACAUAAUUGACCCAAACAUUUUGAUCAACGAACCAAGUUACCCUGGGGAUAACAGCGCAAUCCAUUUCAAGAGACCCCAUCGACAAAUGGGCUUACGACCUCGAUGUUGGAUCAGGGUAUCCCAGUGGUGUAGCCGCUACUAAAGGUUCGUUUGUUCAACGAUUAAAACCCUACGUGAUCUGAGUUCACACCGGAGUGAACGC